rfam:Oryza rufipogon genomic scaffold, chr01
AAAAGGACAAACCCUAGGUUUCUGUGUUCAACUUUAACUAUUUGUCUUAUAUGAAAUUUUUUAUAAUUCGUAUUUUUAUUAUUGUUAGAUGACAAAACAUUGAUUAAUAUUUUAUGCGUGACUUGUCUUUUUAAUUUUUUUCAUAAUUUUUUCAAAUAAGACGGACGGUCAAACAUUAGACACGGAAAUGAGGGUU